GACGAACGCUGGCGGCGUGCUUAACACAUGCAAGUCGAACGGAAAGGCCCUGCUUUUGUGGGGUGCUCGAGUGGCGAACGGGUGAGUAACACGUGAGUAACCUGCCCUUGACUUUGGGAUAACUUCAGGAAACUGGGGCUAAUACCGGAUAGGAGCUCCUGCUGCAUGGUGGGGGUUGGAAAGUUUCGGCGGUUGGGGAUGGACUCGCGGCUUAUCAGCUUGUUGGUGGGGUAGUGGCUUACCAAGGCUUUGACGGGUAGCCGGCCUGAGAGGGUGACCGGCCACAUUGGGACUGAGAUACGGCCCAGACUCCUACGGGAGGCAGCAGUGGGGAAUAUUGCACAAUGGGCGGAAGCCUGAUGCAGCAACGGCGCGUGCGGGAUGACGGCCUUCGGGUUGUAAACCGCUUUCGCCUGUGACGAAGCGUGAGUGACGGUAAUGGGUAAAGAAGCACCGGCUAACUACGUG
rnacentral:rRNA from 1 species